GUAGGUGGCAAGCGUUGUCCGGAAUUAUUGGGCGUAAAGCGCGCGCAGGCCGGUUCGUUUAAGUCUGAUGUGAAAGACCCACGGGCUCAACCGUGGAGGGUCAUUGGAAACUCGGGGGACUUGAGUACAGAAGAGGAAAGCGGAAUUCCAAGUGUAGCGGUGAAAUGCGUAGAGAGUUUGGAGGAACACCAGUGGCGAAGGCGGCUUUCUGGUCUGUAACUGACGCUGAGGCGCGAAAGCGUGGGGAGCAAACAGGAUUAGAUACCCUGGUAGUCCACGCCGUAAACGAUGAGUGCUAAGUGUUACGGGGGGUUUCCGCCCCUUAGUGCUGCAGCUAACGCAUUAAGCACUCCGCCUGGGGAGUACGGCCGCAAAGGCUGA
rnacentral:rRNA from 1 species